AUUGAACGCUGGCGGCAGGCCUAACACAUGCAAGUCGAACGAGUGGCGGACGGGUGGAUAAUGUCUGGGAAACUGCCUGAUGGAGGGGGAUAACUACUGGAAACGGUAGCUAAUACCGCAUAACAGCGGAUUUGGCCGGCAGGGAUUAGGUAGUAGGUGGGGUAACGGCUCACCUAGGGGACGAACCCUAGCUGGCCUGAGAGGAUGACCAGCCACACUGGAACUGAGACACGGUCCAGACUCCUACGGGAGGCAGCAGUGGGGAAUAUUUCACAAUGGGCGCAAGCCUGAUGCAGCCAUGCCGCGUGUGUGAAGAAGGCCUUCGGGUUGUAAAGCACUUUCGGCGGGGAGGCGUUACCCGCAGAAGAAGCACCGGCUAACUCCGUGCCAGCAGCCGCGGUAAUAC
rnacentral:rRNA from 1 species